rnacentral:rRNA from 1 species
UACGGAGGGGGCUAGCGUUGUUCGGAAUUACUGGGCGUAAAGCGCACGUAGGCGGCUUGGUAUGUCGGGUGUGAAAUCCCCGGGCUCAACCUGGGAACUGCAUCCGAAACUGCCUUGCUCGAGUAUGGGAGAGGGAAGUGGAAUUUCCGGUGUAGCGGUGAAAUGCGUAGAUAUCGGAAGGAACAUCAGUGGCGAAGGCGACUUCCUGGACCAAUACUGACGCUCAUGUGCGAAAGCGUGGGGAGCAAACAGG